CUGGAUGUGAUGACAGCUUCAGAGCUGAUGCUGGUGAUGGCUGUUGUGUUCGUACUGUCUGAUCCAU
ensembl:snoRNA